rnacentral:rRNA from 1 species
GUGCCAGCAGCCGCGGUAAUACGUAGGGAGCUAGCGUUGUCCGGAAUCAUUGGGCGUAAAGCGCGCGUAGGCGGCCCGGUAAGUCCGCUGUAAAAGUCAAAGGCUCAACCUUUGAAUGCCGGUGGAUACUGUCGGGCUAGAGUCCGGAAGAGGCGAGUGGAAUUCCUGGUGUAGCGGUGGAAUGCGCAGAUAUCAGGAGGAACACCAACGGCGAAGGCAGCUCGCUGGGACGGUACUGACGCUGAGGCGCGAAAGCGUGGGGAGCGAACAGGAUUAGAUACCCUGGUAGUCCACGCCGUAAACGAUGGGCACUAGGUGUGGGAGGUGUCGACUCCUUCCGUGCCGUCGCUAACGCACUAAGUGCCCCGCCUGGGGAGUACGGCCGCAAGGCUAAAACUCAAAGGAAUUGACGGGA